CAUCAGCACCCAGCCCUUUGGGGGGGGCACAGCCCCCCCACCUAGGGGCAUCCUCACCCACUCCCCUGCAGAAAUGUGAGGGGCACAACCCCCUGCCUGGGACAUCCUCACCCAGCCAUCUCAGAGACAUGGAGGGACACUUCCCACAUGUUGCCCCUCUGUGCCUCAGCUUCCCCCUCUGUAACAUGGGGAGAGUGCCCUCAGCCCUGGUACACCACCCCUCUGGGACUACUGCACCCCUUCAGUUCUCCUCCCUGGCUAGUUUCUGGGCCUCCGCUUCUUUGCCUUUCAGCUCUAGGGCCUGCUGAUGUGCUAACGUCUCAGCUUAUUUCCGGGCCUCGGUUUCUCUCUCAUUGUCCUUUAUCUCCAGAUCCUUCAUUCUCAACUGACUCUCAUAGUCUCUCUCUUUUUCUGCUACUUGCAGUCUGUUUGCCACUUUCUCUAAGGAAAGUGGACAUGCACCAGCCUUUGUCUAAGGAAAGUGGACAUGCACCAGCCACCAGAUUCCACGAGCACGUUAGACAGAUUCACUGGGGGAGACACUAGGAUGAGCGUCACUAGUGACGAGGAGGAAGGUGAUGGUGAAGAUGAAGGCUAGUACUAACACUUCAGGUUUUUCCACAAGGCCCAGGACUCUGCAUCUUGGACUCCAUCUUCAUCAGCCUCUGGAAAGGUGUCUUGAGUUUGCUCCCUUUGACUGCUGGAAUGGAGACUUCUUCCACCACCUAUGAGUCUGCUGUGAUAGCACUCUACUACUCUACUCUUUCUCAGGCUCCUGGCUGCUCCAAGGAUGAGGAUGACAGCUGUGUGCUUGUUUCCCCAGACUCUAUUUUGGAUCAUCCUCUCUCA